UACGUAGGGGGGCAAGCGUUGUCCGGAAUCAUUGGGCGUAAAGCGCGUGUAGGCGGUUCGGUAAGUCUGCUGUGAAAGUCCAGGGCUCAACCCUGGGAUGCCGGUGGAUACUGUCGGACUAGAGUACGGAAGAGGCGAGUGGAAUUCCCGGUGUAGCGGUGAAAUGCGCAGAUAAUCGGGAGGAACACCAAUUGCGAAGGCAGCUCGCUGGGACGUCA
rnacentral:rRNA from 1 species